UGGGGAAUAUUGCACAAUGGAGGGAACUCUGAUGCAGCGACGCCGCGUGAACGAAGAAGGCUUUCGAGUCGUAAAGUUCUUUAUAUGGGAAGAUAAUGACGGUACCAUAAGAAAAAGCCCCGGCUAACUACGUGCCAGCAGCCGCGGUAAUACGUAGGGGGCUAGCGUUGUCCGGAAUCACUGGGCGUAAAGGGUUCGCAGGCGGAAAUGCAAGUCAGGUGUAAAAGGCAGUAGCUUAACUACUGUAAGCAUUUGAAACUGCAUAUCUUGAGAAGAGUAGAGGUAAGUGGAAUUUUUAGUGUAGCGGUGAAAUGCGUAGAUAUUAAAAAGAAUACCGGUGGCGAAGGCGACUUACUGGGCUCAUUCUGACGCUGAGGAACGAAAGCGUGGGUAGCAAACAGG
rnacentral:rRNA from 2 species